UACGGAGGGUGCAAGCGUUGUCAGGAUUUAUUGGGGUUAAAGGGUGCGUAGGCGGCUUUUUAAGUCAGUGGUGAAAUACAGCAGCUCAACUGUUGAGGUGCCAUUGAUACUGAAGAGCUUGAGUACAGAUGAGGUAGGCGGAAUUUAUGGUGUAGCGGUGAAAUGCAUAGAUACCAUAAAGAACACCGAUUGCGAAGGCAGCUUACUAAGCUGUAACUGACGCUGAGGCACGAAAGCGUGGGGAGCGAACAGG
rnacentral:rRNA from 1 species